GUUUCAAUUCCUUAUAGGUACGUUAGAAAC
rnacentral:other from 23 species